rnacentral:rRNA from 1 species
UAUGGGACGAUAAGACCCUAUAAAGCUUUAUUUGUUACUCUUGAAUAUUUUAUACUAAGUUUAGGGGGAGAUGAAUUUGACUGGGGCGGUUAGUAACUAGACAUACUAGAGGUUCUAUAGGUGUGGAUCCACUAUUAGUGAAUUUAGAUUAAGUUACUUUAGGGAUAACAGCAUGAUAUACUUGUGGAGUUCUAAUCGAAGAGUAUGAUUGUGACCUCGAUGUUGAAUUAAUCUUAUUGUAUGGUGAAGAAGCUAUAUGAGUUAGUCUGUUCGACUAUUGAAUGAUUACGUGAUUUGAGUUCAAACCGGUUUAAGCCAGGUUGGUUUCUAUCUAUAGUAAUUUGAAAAUAUCUUAGUACGAAAGGACCAGUUGUU